rnacentral:lncRNA from 1 species
CCACAGGGUCCAGAUUUCUCCCUUUUCACUUCCUUUACAUCUAUCCAAUGCUGAAGCUCCUGAACAAGUGGCGCCAGAUCUGUGCCUCUGCAGUGCAGAGAAGAACCAGCCCCACAGAAGCAUAUUCAUUAAAUAAAACUGGGAUGUUCCAGUGGGCAAUGUCUGUUCGCAAAUAAUGGGAAAAUGUUUCAUGUUCCACCCAGGAAGGUGUAAGAGCAUUUCAGUAAGUGGUUAAUAAAUUCUUGGUCUUUAUCCAUUACCUACCAACACUUUCCACUCCCCUUCUUCCUACAAAACUCACAUAUGCCAUCUCUCUCGCCAUCUUUCUUGGACAGAUAUUCUGAUCUUGUUUUUACUACUUUUACAGUGGCUUCACAGUCCUAAUUUCUGUUUCAUUUCUCUUAAACUAUCCAAGCUUAAGCAAGAGCAGACUCAGGGUCUCUACUGGACUGGGAUUUUCUUUUUUUUCUUUUUUCUUUCUUUUUUUUUUUUCUUUUCAUUUCUUUUUUUUUUUCCCCUUCUAUUUUUUUUUUUUUUUUCAAAUUCAGUGUCCCAACUGAUCUUAAACAGCUGUCUUUUUUUCAUUUCAGGAGUAGCUUAAGUCUGCAUUCUUCAACAGCAUACAGCAGUUAUCAGUUAAUGAGAUGACUUGUACCCUUGUCCACACUUGCAUCACUAUGGCUUCUUAAAUGAGCUGAUGUGCUGCAGCUGAGGAUUAAACCAUCUCUUUCAAUAUUGCAUGCACUGCAGCACAAGUCACUCACUCCAGCAACCACAGAGGUGAUUGCAGACCUGGGAAAGUCAAGAUGAGCAGAAACCCUUGUGCAUUAAAGCCUGCAUUUAAUGUCCUGCCUGUCCUAUCAUCACUGCUGUUUCUUCUCCACCUAUUGUUGGGAAAUGUCUUGACAAGACCUGUGAAGUCACCUGAAAAUGGUGGCCAGGACUUCAAGAUUCCUCCAUCACUGAAGUUAUCCUGCCAUGGAAACACAUGGGGCCCUGCCCCACCCCUGGGAAAAAAAAAAAAAAAAAAUGAAAAUAGAAUGAAAUGUGUUUACUUUCCCUUAAUGUCAUGCAUAAUGUCAUGCAUUGUUUGCAAUGGAUCAUUCAUCAUCACAGCUCACCCCUAUGAAUGAUUCAUGAGGGGACAGCUGUUCCCAGGACCAGCUCCUGAGUUGCACAUACCAUGGGAGAAGCUCAGCACCUGAGAAGAACUGGGGCUUCUUCAACUCCAAAAGCUUCAUAUUUUUUUUCAAAUGAAGGCAGGGCUGUAAUGCACCCUAAAAUACAUUCAGCAGGGAAGGAGUGGGCAAAUAGAUUGCAUGGAAAAUUAAAAUGUGUUUCAAGGUAUACAGCAAGACAGGGUUUAAGGAGACAUAGCAUUAUUUUGAUCAGCUGUAAACAUUAGGAUUCAAUAUUCUAUGUGGGAUUCUUCUGGCUGUCCACAAAAUGCAUGCAUAUAACACACAAAAUGUCAUAAAAAUGUUGAUGUGUUUUGUAGGUAUUAUUUGUCUCCUGUUUCUCAAGAAACACUCUAAAUUUAACUGUGGGCACUACAAAGGACAAAGUAUAGCCAGUUUGUGUAUCCAUUUCUGAUUUCCUUCUGAGUCUUAUCUAGUCUUUGUAUAAUAAAAUACAUGUCUCACAUAACCA